CAAGGGAAACGCGCACAAGGGCCAAGACUGACUCCGAGUUCCCUUUGCUUCCCAGAUCCCAUCUGAUGGACCUCUCCAGGAGGGCUGCUCUGUGUGGCAGGAAGAGACAGAGGGAGGGCCUGUGACCAUCAGGCAGGUGAAAUCCGGACUCUGUGUUCCCUUUGCUUCCCAGAUCCCAUCUGAUGGACCUCUCCAGGAGGGCUGCUCUGUGUGGCAGGAAGAGACAGAGGGAGGGCCUGUGACCAUCAGGCAGCUGGUGGCCGGGCCGGGCGGAGCAGCAGUUCCAGCCCCGGGUGUCCCUGGAGCGGUGGCAGCUGCUGGUGGCCACAGGCAGUGUCCCCUGAGGAGCUGCUGAGGGACGGUGAGACUGAGGGGGCUGAGGGGCUGAGGAGGCGCUGGCACUGAAGGGACGGUGGCCUUGAGGUGCUGCUGGGGCUGAGGGUGUGGAGCAGCUGAGGGCGAUGGUGGCACUGAGGUGACAGGGGGGGGGGGGGGGGGGGGGGGGGGGGGGGGGGGGGGGGGGGGGGGGGGGGGGGGGGGGGGGGGG
rnacentral:lncRNA from 12 species